rnacentral:ncRNA from 1 species
ACAAUGAUACUUCUCUACGGAGCGGCUGGAGAACCCAGCCGGGGUGAGAUUCCCAUGA